GAUGAACGCUGGCGGCGUGCCUAAUACAUGCAAGUCGAGCGAACAGACGAGGAGCUUGCUCCUCUGACGUUAGCGGCGGACGGGUGAGUAACACGUGGAUAACCUACCUAUAAGACUGGGAUAACUUCGGGAAACCGGAGCUAAUACCGGAUAAUAUAUUGAACCGCAUGGUUCAAUAGUGAAAGACGGUUUUGCUGUCACUUAUAGCUGGAUCCGCGCCGCAUUAGCUAGUUGGUAAGGUAACGGCUUACCAAGGCAACGAUGCGUAGCCGACCUGAGAGGGUGGUCGGCCACACUGGAACUGAGACACGGACCAGACUCCUACGGGAGGCAGCAGAAGGGAAUCUUCCGCAAUGGGCGAAAGCGUGACGGAGCAACGCCGCGGGAGUGAUGAAGGUCUUCGGAUCGUAAAACUCUGUUAUUAGGGAAGAACAAAUGUGUAAGUAACUAUGCACGUCUUGACGGUACCUAAUCAGAAAGCCACGGCUAACUACGUG
rnacentral:rRNA from 1 species